rnacentral:tRNA from 2 species
GGGCCCGUAGCUUAGCCUGGUGGAGCGCCUGGCUCAUAACCAGGUGGUCGCCGGUUCGAAUCCGGCCGGGCCCA